AAAAAAGGUAAGCUACUAAGAGCGAAUGGUGGAUGCCUUGACUGGUAAAGGCGAUGAAGGACGUACUAGACUGCGAUAAGCUACGGGGAGCUGUCAAGAAGCUUUGAUCCGUAGAUUUCCGAAUGGGGCAACCCAAUGUAUAGAGAUAUACAUUACCUAUAUAGGAGCGAACGAGGGGAAUUGAAACAUCUUAGUACCCUCAGGAAAAGAAAUCAAUAGAGAUUGCGUCAGUAGCGGCGAGCGAAAGCGCAAGAGGGCAAACCCAGUGCUUGCACUGGGGGUUGUAGGACUGCAAUGUGCAAGAGGUGAGUUUAGCAGAACAUUCUGGAAAGUAUAGCCAUAGAGGGUGAUAGUCCCGUAUGCGAAAAACAAACCUUAGCUAGCAGUAUCCUGAGUAGGGCGGGACACGAGAAAUCCUGUCUGAAGCUGGGUCGACCACGAUCCAACCCUAAAUACUAAUACCAGAUCGAUAGUGCACAAGUACCGUGAGGGAAAGGUGAAAAGAACUGAGGUGAUCAGAGUGAAAUAGAACCUGAAACCAUUUGCUUACAAUCAUUCAGAGCCCUAUGUAGCAAUACAGGGUGAUGGACUGCCUUUUGCAUAAUGAGCCUGCGAGUUGUGGUGUCUGGCAAGGUUAAGCAAACGCGAAGCCGUAGCGAAAGCGAGUCUGAAUAGGGCGCUUAGUCAGAUGCUGCAGACCCGAAACGAAGUGAUCUAUCCAUGAGCAAGUUGAAGCUAGUGUAAGAACUAGUGGAGGACUGAACCCAUAGGCGUUGAAAAGCCCCGGGAUGACUUGUGGAUAGGGGUGAAAGGCCAAUCAAACUUCGUGAUAGCUGGUUCUCUCCGAAAUAUAUUUAGGUAUAGCGUUGUGUCGUAAUAUAAGGGGGUAGAGCACUGAAUGGGCUAGGGCAUACACCAAUGUACCAAACCCUAUCAAACUCCGAAUACCUUAUAUGUAAUCACAGCAGUCAGGCGGCGAGUGAUAAAAUCCGUCGUCAAGAGGGAAACAACCCAGACUACCAGCUAAGGUCCCUAAAUCUUACUUAAGUGGAAAACGAUGUGAAGUUACUUAAACAACCAGGAGGUUGGCUUAGAAGCAGCCAUCCUUUAAAGAAAGCGUAAUAGCUCACUGGUCUAGUGAUUUUGCGCGGAAAAUAUAACGGGGCUAAAGUAAGUACCGAAGCUGUAGACUUGCGCACAACUUAGAUUAUUUAAGUUUAGAAUAUGAGAAACUAAGUUAUAUGUUUAGUUAUAUUUUUACUGAUUUUUAUAGAGUAAAGAUAGAAAUAAAACUUAGUAAAAUCAGUAAAAAUAUUCUUAGACUAAAGUUAAGUAGUUUAAGUUGUGUGCAAGUGGUAGGAGAGCGUUCUAUUUGCGUCGAAGGUAUACCGGUAAGGAGUGCUGGAGCGAAUAGAAGUGAGCAUGCAGGCAUGAGUAGCGAUAAUUAAUGUGAGAAUCAUUAACGCCGUAAACCCAAGGUUUCCUACGCGAUGCUCGUCAUCGUAGGGUUAGUCGGGUCCUAAGUCGAGUCCGAAAGGGGUAGACGAUGGCAAAUUGGUUAAUAUUCCAAUACCAACAUUAGUGUGCGAUGGAAGGACGCUUAGGGCUAAGGGGGCUAGCGGAUGGAAGUGCUAGUCUAAGGUCGUAGGAGGUUAUACAGGCAAAUCCGUAUAAC
rnacentral:rRNA from 1 species